rnacentral:rRNA from 1 species
GAUGAACGCUGGCGGCGUGCCUAAUACAUGCAAGUCGAGCGAACAGACGAGGAGCUUGCUCCUCUGACGUUAGCGGCGGACGGGUGAGUAACACGUGGAUAACCUACCUAUAAGACUGGGAUAACUUCGGGAAACCGGCGCUAAUACCGGAUAAUAUAUUGAACCGCGUGGUUCAAUAGUGAAAGACGGUUUUGCUGUCACUUAUAGAUGGAUCCGCGCCGCAUUAGCUAGUUGGUAAGGUAACGGCUUACCAAGGCGACGAUGCGUAGCCGACCUGAGAGGGUGGUCGGCCACACUGGAACUGGGACACGGUCCAGACUCCUACGGGAGGCCGCAGUAGGGAAUCUGCCGCAAUAGGCGAAAGCCUGACGGAGCAACGCCGCGUGAGAGAUGAAGGUCUUCGGAUCGUAAAACUCUGUUAUUAGGGAAGAACAAAUGUGUAAGUAACUAUGCACGUCUUGACGGUACCUAAUCAGAAAGCCACGGCUAACUACGUG